CCCAUCGAGAGCCAGCGCUUACCAGCAGUGUCCUUUCCCUGUGGAUCCUAUGUGUGCCCCCCCAACGCAUGUUGCAGAGACCUCGGCGUGGCCUGAGCAGCUCAGGGCACGCUCCAUGCAGCCGUCGUGGCCGCCGGCCACCGUUCCAUCGAGCCACACCAUCCCUGCUUAAUUCUCUCGAGUCAAUGCAAAAAUGGAGCCCACGAGAGUGCAGUAGACCACCCCGACACCAUAAGCCCAUGCUAACCCCGACGUUCGUCAUCAUCGGCACCGGAGCUAACUCUGUCACGACAACAGCCUCGAGCUCCGAUAAAUAGGAGGCCCCCGAACAGCUUGGUGGCACAGAUCCACUCCCACUCCUCUCAAAGCCCCGCCCACGCCACGAGAGAGCCUCGGGGAGGUCUUCUUCCCCAACUCCGUCCGCCUCGAUCAGCUUCGGUUCCCGACAAAAUUCCCACUGGCAUCCCCUCCAGCGAGAUCAAGUCACGCCCGAGACUUUCGUCCGCCGGAGCAGUAGCCAUCAUCGAUGUGGUGCUCACUGACGAUCGGCUCCACCUGCCAUCAUCGAUGUGGUGCUCACUGACUAUCGGCUCCACAGAAUGAUACCGACGAGGGAAACGUCGAUGUCAACUUCAUCGACCUUGAUCCCGACUAUGUGGAACCAGGCAAGCAUGUUUGACUUUUUGACUUUUUGAUGUGAUGUUUGCUGAGUAACAAAUUUAAUUCUGCUGCAUUAACUAACAUAUUGCAUAUUACAUACAUAUAAUACAAUAUGUGGCUAUGAUGACUUAUAUGGCUGUGAGAGGCCGUGGAUAACCUAGUCACAGGGAACAUGAUAGGUUGUGGCCUCGUCAUGCCAGAUGCAUGCUCGUGGGAAUGCGGGUUACACACAAAAUAAAGCGAUCGGGAUGACGGUAUCCAUUGCCCUGGACUAAAUGAUGUCAUCCGGUCAGGGGGCAUGGGUGUUUUCGGUCUGGGACCGAGAGCGAGGGCAUUCCCUUGUAGCGCACGGUAUAAGUUUGAUCCCUUGCUGGUCGAGGUUGGAGCCUCCCCAUCUUAUGAUUUUUCCCUGGUGGCAUAGUCCAGGUGAGACCAGUCUUCAUGGGGUAAAAAUGGGUGUGUGCUGGUUCUGAGUGUUUGCUUCUAAAAUAUCAUAUGCGUGGUUAGUCCUGGUGACUAUUGGCACCAGU